rnacentral:rRNA from 1 species
GAUGAACGCUGGCGGCGUGCCUAAUACAUGCAAGUCGAGCGAACGGACGAGAAGCUUGCUUCUCUGAUGUUAGCGGCGGACGGGUGAGUAACACGUGGAUAACCUACCUAUAAGACUGGGAUAACUUCGGGAAACCGGAGCUAAUACCGGAUAAUAUUUUGAACCGCAUGGUUCAAAAGUGAAAGACGGUCUUGCUGUCACUUAUAGAUGGAUCCGCGCUGCAUUAGCUAGUUGGUAAGGUAACGGCUUACCAAGGCAACGAUGCAUAGCCGACCUGAGAGGGUGAUCGGCCACACUGGAACUGAGACACGGUCCAGACUCCUACGGGAGGCAGCAGUAGGGAAUCUUCCGCAAUGGGCGAAAGCCUGACGGAGCAACGCCGCGUGAGUGAUGAAGGUCUUCGGAUCGUAAAACUCUGUUAUUAGGGAAGAACAUAUGUGUAAGUAACUGUGCACAUCUUGACGGUACCUAAUCAGAAAGCCACGGCUAACUACGUGCCAGCAGCCGCGGUAAUACGUAGGUGGCAAGCGUUAUCCGGAAUUAUUGGGCGUAAAGCGCGCGUAGGCGGUUUUUUAAGUCUGAUGUGAAAGCCCACGGCUCAACCGUGGAGGGUCAUUGGAAACUGGAAAACUUGAGUGCAGAAGAGGAAAGUGGAGUUCCAUGUGUAGCGGUGAAAUGCGCAGAGAUAUGGAGGAACACCAGUGGCGAAGGCGACUUUCUGGUCUGUAACUGACGCUGAUGUGCGAAAGCGUGGGGAUCAAACAGGAUUAGAUACCCUGGUAGUCCACGCCGUAAACGAUGAGUGCUAAGUGUUAGGGGGUUUCCGCCCCUUAGUGCUGCAGCUAACGCAUUAAGCACUCCGCCUGGGGAGUACGACCGCAAGGUUGAAACUCAAAGGAAUUGACGGGGACCCGCACAAGCGGUGGAGCAUGUGGUUUAAUUCGAAGCAACGCGAAGAACCUUACCAAAUCUUGACAUCCUUUGACAACUCUAGAGAUAGAGCUUUCCCCUUCGGGGGACAAAGUGACAGGUGGUGCAUGGUUGUCGUCAGCUCGUGUCGUGAGAUGUUGGGUUAAGUCCCGCAACGAGCGCAACCCUUAAGCUUAGUUGCCAUCAUUAAGUUGGGCACUCUAAGUUGACUGCCGGUGACAAACCGGAGGAAGGUGGGGAUGACGUCAAAUCAUCAUGCCCCUUAUGAUUUGGGCUACACACGUGCUACAAUGGACAAUACAAAGGGCAGCGAAACCGCGAGGUCAAGCAAAUCCCAUAAAGUUGUUCUCAGUUCGGAUUGUAGUCUGCAACUCGACUACAUGAAGCUGGAAUCGCUAGUAAUCGUAGAUCAGCAUGCUACGGUGAAUACGUUCCCGGGUCU